rnacentral:rRNA from 1 species
UGGACGAGAUAUAAGCUGUUUCAUUUAAAAUUUAUAUAGAAUUUUAUUUUUUAGUUAAAAAGCUAAAAUAUGAUCAAAAGACGAGAAGACCCUAUAAAUCUUAAUUAUUUAAUAAUUUUUAAUUUAUUUUGGUUUUUUUUGUUAUAAAUUUAUUAAAUAAUUUUAUUGGGGUGAUAUUAAAAUUUAAAUAACUUUUAAUAAUUUUUGUCAUUUAUUUAUGAUUAAGUGAUCCAUUAUUAGUGAUUAAAAAAUUAAGUUACUUUAGGGAUAACAGCGUAAUUUUUUUGGAGAGUUCUUAUCGAUAAAAAAGUUUGCGACCUCGAUGUUGGAUUAAGAUUCAUAUUUAAAUGCAGAAGUUUAAAUAUUAAGUCUGUUCGACUUUUUAUUCUUACAUGAUCUGAGUUCAAACCGGUGUAAGCCAGGUUGGUUUCUAUCUUUGAUUUAAUAAAAUAUUUUAGUACGAAAGGAAUUAAUAUUUAU